CGGGCCAGGCCACGCGCAGACCCGAGCCCGGGGCCCCCGCCUCUGGCUGCCGGCCCGCGCCCGCCGCGCGCCCCGCGUUCACUGCGCGCUCGGCCCCGGUCCCGCCUCCCGGAGGGUUUCGCUUUCGCUUUCCUGCCGAUGUCGUUGAGGAAAAUGAAAGCGGUCGUGGCCAGGACUGGCGCAGCUGCCGUUUCAGGCGAGGGGCGCAGAAUGCAGCGGCCGCCAGCCUGGAGCGCGGGCCCUGGGGCCGCAACCCGCGCCGGGCGAGGUGGCAGCACACCCUGGGCCCCCCACUCCCCGCCGCAAGUCCUGAGGAUGGCCAGCAGAGAAACAAGAAAAUGGACUCCCUGGCUGCUGGAGAGUUGAAUGCCAGCCACCAGCCAUGGGUGCCAGAGUUUGUAGCCUAUUGGAGGAAAACACACCAAGCCUUUUGCACCUCCUAAUCUACUCUAGAUCACCUCUGCAGCCUGCACAGCCGGGCCUUUGGACUCCUGGAUGCUAGAGUGACCUGGGCGCUGAGGAGGGCCCCCGAGCCAGUACCAGGAAAGGAUAGACUCCUGCUUGCAGCAUUCCCAGCAGAGGCAUCGCCUGUGGACACCGCGUCUGUGUCUGUAUAUGGCAGAGCUCCCAGAUAUAUGCACAAGGGAGUGAAAAAAUGUGUUUGCACCCCAGUCUCUAAAAAUUCAACAGCCUGGUUACUUCUGGGUGGUAUAUCGUAGGUGGCUUUAAUACGUGUUAUUUGCUCAUCUGUAUUUCUUACUCUUUGCACAAUUAAACCAUGUUCCUUUUACUUAUGUACAUUUUUAAUAAAAGAAAGUUGUUAAUG
rnacentral:lncRNA from 1 species